UACAGAGGGUGCGAGCGUUGUUCGGAAUUAUUGGGCGUAAAGGGCGCGUAGGCGGCGCCACAAGUCACUUGUGAAAACUCUGGGCUCAACUCAGAGCCUGCAAGCGAAACUGUGGUGCUGGAGUAUGGGAGAGGUGCGUGGAAUUCCCGGUGUAGCGGUGAAAUGCGUAGAUAUCGUGAGGAAGACCAGUGGCGAAGGCGGGUCUCUGGACAGUGACUGACACUGAGGCACGAAGGCCAGGGGAGCAAACGGG
rnacentral:rRNA from 1 species